AACGAACGCUGGCGGCGCGCCUAAUACAUGCAAGUCGAGCGAGAAGGUGUAGCAAUACACUUGUAAGGCGGCGAACGGGUGAGGAAUACAUGGGUAAUCUACCAUCGAGUGGGGAAUAACCAACCGAAAGGUUGGCUAAUACCGCGUACGCCUCCGAGUCUUCGGGUUCGGAGGGAAAGCUGCACUGUGAGUGUAGCGCUCUUUGAUGAGCUCAUGUCCUAUCAGCUUGUUGGUAGGGUAACGGCCUACCAAGGCUUUGACGGGUAGCUGGUCUGAGAGGACGAUCAGCCACACUGGCACUGCGACACGGGCCAGACUCCUACGGGAGGCAGCAGUAAGGAAUAUUGGACAAUGGGCGAAAGCCUGAUGCAGCAACGCCGCCGUGAGCGAUGAAGGCC
rnacentral:rRNA from 1 species